GGGUAGGGCCAUCUGGCUGUGACACAUGUCACCCCAUUGAUCACCAGGGUUGAUUCGGUUGAUCCGGCUGACCAGGCAGGUGUCCCCUUCCUCCCUCACCAUUCCAAUGCAUCCCUCCUGAAGCUGUGUACUCAGUAGAAGUGGAUGACCUUCCCUGAUACAGGAGGACCGUUCUUUGGUAAGGGUAGCUGUGUUCCCCUGCUGGAACAUCCAAACAAGCUGCCAAGGUCCAUUUGUAGGAGAACAUAGGGUAGCCAAGCUUCCAAGAUUCUAGACACAUCAAAUGAGGUGCUGCAUCUGGCAGCCUGCCUUUCU
rnacentral:snRNA from 1 species